ensembl:rRNA 5S_rRNA 5S ribosomal RNA
AUCUACUGUCAUACCACCCUGAUCCCGGAAGCUAAGCAGGGUAGUGCCUGUCCAGUACCUGGAUGGGAGACCGCCGGGGAAUACUGGGUGCUGUAGGCC